rnacentral:tRNA from 1 species
CACUAAGAAGCUAAAUGACAGCAACAGCCUUUUAAGCUGUAGAUUGGUGAUUACAACCACCCUUAGUGA